rnacentral:rRNA from 1 species
CCUACGGGUGGCAGCAGUGAGGAAUAUUGGUCAAUGGACGAGAGUCUGAACCAGCCAAGUAGCGUGAAGGAUGACUGCCCUAUGGGUUGUAAACUUCUUUUAUAUGGGGAUAAAACGUUCCACGUGUGGGAUUUUGUAUGUACCAUAUGAAUAAGGAUCGGCUAACUCCGUGCCAGCAGCCGCGGUAAUACGGAGGAUCCGGGCGUUAUCCGGAUUUAUUGGGUUUAAAGGGAGCGUAGGUGGCUUGUUAAGCUAGUUGUGAAAGGUUGCGGCUCAACCGUAAAAUUGCGGUGGAAACUGGCAGUCUUGAGUACAGUAGAGGUGGGCGGAAUUCGUGGUGUAGCGGUGAAAUGCUUAGAUAUCACGAAGAACUCCGAUUGCGAAGGCAGUAUACUGCACUGCAACUGACACUGAGGCUCGAAAGUGUGGGUAUCAAACAGGAUUAGAUACCCUGGUAGUC